GUGUCAGCAGCCGCGGUAAUACGAAGGGUGCAAGCGUUACUCGGAAUUACUGGGCGUAAAGCGUGCGUAGGUGGUUGGUUAAGUCUGUCGUGAAAGCCCUGGGCUCAACCUGGGAACUGCGAUGGAAACUGGCUGACUAGAGUGUGGUAGAGGGUAGCGGAAUUCCUGGUGUAGCAGUGAAAUGCGUAGAUAUCAGGAGGAACAUCCAUGGCGAAGGCAGCUACCUGGGCCAACACUGACACUGAGGCACGAAAGCGUGGGGAGCAAACAGGAUUAGAAACCCCAGUAGUCC
rnacentral:rRNA from 1 species